CGAGCUCGAAGCCGGGGACACGCCCCUGGGGCUGGCCAAUAAGGGCGCGGUGAAGGACAGGUGUGUCUCUUCGAGCCAAGCGACCCCGGCCUGCCAAGUUCGCCAACUCGGCUGAACGCAGCGUCUGUUCUCGAGUCUUCACACACAGGCGUCCGCGCCGGGUUUGUGCCACUGGGUGCGAGCGCUUGCUGGUGAGAGACUGGGAAAGCGAGGAAAAACCUCGGAGAGGGAAUGACCACACCUUUUCUCGGGAUUUUGGGACACACGCACACGCCCCAGUGUGAUUCUCAGGCUGGUGUGUCCAGACUGGAAUUUAGGUUAGCCAUGUGGGAAUCCAGCAGUUUCACUACCAGCACCACCUGCUGUUCCACCCGGAAACACUCUUGCCUCACGCUGGGUGUGUAAGGUUGGGAGAUCAAAUAUAGAUUGGACUUGUUAAGUC